rnacentral:rRNA from 1 species
GACGAACCUUUGCGGCGUGCUUAACACAUGCAAGUCGAACGGAAAGGCCCUGCUUUUGUGGGGUGCUCGAGUGGCGAACGGGUGAGUAACACGUGAGUAACCUGCCCUUGACUUUGGGAUAACUUCAGGAAACUGGGGCUAAUACCGGAUAGGAGCUCCUGCUGCAUGGUGGGGGUUGGAAAGUUUCGGCAGUUGGGGAUGGACUCGCGGCUUAUCAGCUUGUUGGUGGGGUAGUGGCUUACCAAGGCUUUGACGGGUAGCCGGCCUGAGAGGGUGACCGGCCACAUUGGGACUGAGAUACGGCCCAGACUCCUACGGGAGGCAGCAGUGGGGAAUAUUGCACAAUGGGCGGAAGCCUGAUGCAGCAACGCCGCGUGCGGGAUGACGGCCUUCGGGUUGUAAACCGCUUUCGCCUGUGACGAAGCGUGAGUGACGGUAAUGGGUAAAGAAGCACCGGCUAACUACGUGCCAGCAGCCGCGGUGAUACGUAGGGUGCGAGCGUUGUCCGGAUUUAUUGGGCGUAAAGGGCUCGUAGGUGGUUGAUCGCGUCGGAAGUGUAAUCUUGGGGCUUAACCCUGAGCGUGCUUUCGAUACGGGUUGACUUGAGGAAGGUAGGGGAGAAUGGAAUUCCUGGUGGAGCGGUGGAAUGCGCAGAUAUCAGGAGGAACACCAGUGGCGAAGGCGGUUCUCUGGGCCCUUUCCUGACGCUGAGGAGCGAAAGCGUGGGGAGCGAACAGGCUUAGAUACCCUGGUAGUCCACGCUGUAAACGGUGGGUACUAGGUGUGGGGUCCAUUCCACGGGUUCCGUGCCGUAGCUAACGCUUUAAGUACCCCGCCUGGGGAGUACGGCCGCAAGGCUAAAACUCAAAGGAAUUGACGGGGCCCCGCACAAGCGGCGGAGCAUGCGGAUUAAUUCGAUGCAACGCGUAGAACCUUACCUGGGUUUGACAUGGAUCGGGAGUGCUCAGAGAUGGGUGUGCCUCUUUUGGGGUCGGUUCACAGGUGGUGCAUGCCUGUCGUCAGCUCGUGUCGCGAGAUGUUGGGUUAAGUCCCGCAACGAGCGCAACCCUUGUUCACUGUUGCCAGCACGUUAUGGUGGGGACUCAGUGGAGACCGCCGGGGUCAACUCGGAGGAAGGUGGGGAUGACGUCAAGUCCUCAUGCCCCUUAUGUCCAGGGCUUCACGCAUGCUACAAUGGCUGGUACAGAGAGUGGCGAGCCUGUGAGGGUGAGCGAAUCUCGGAAAGCCGGUCUCAGUUCGGAUUGGGGUCUGCAACUCGACCUCAUGAAGUCGGAGUCGCUAGUAAUCGCAGAUCAGCAACGCUGCGGUGAAUACGUUCCCGGGGCU